rnacentral:rRNA from 3 species
AACUUUCAACAAUGGAUCUCUUGGUUCCGGCAUCGAUGAAGAACGCAGCGAAAUGCGAUAAGUAAUGUGAAUUGCAGAAUUCCGUGAAUCAUCGAAUCUUUGAACGCACAUUGCGCCCCCUGGUAUUCCGGGGGGCAUGCCUGUCCGAGCGUCAUUGCAACCUUCAAGCGCGG